ACUGUGCGCGUGCAUAAUCAAGAAUCCUGUACGCCAUUCGCUAGCGGAAAAGCGGACCAAAUCCAUGAAAUCUACCACGAUCCGGCUUUUUUGGUAUUAAUUAACAAACAAUCUACAAUCUCAAAAUGUCGUAUGGACGAAUAGCACCAGACAUUGAAGGGAUGACUUCCCUGAAAGUGGACAAUUUGACAUAUAGCACGACACCUGAAGACCUACGACGCUGCUUCGAAAAAUAUGGCGAAGUUGGGGACAUUUACAUUCCACGCGAUAAAUUCUCAAGAGAGAGCAGAGGGUUUGCUUUUGUCCGAUAUCCGGACAAGAGGGACGCUGAAGAUGCAAUGGAUUCUAUGGACGGUAACCUAUAUGAUGGUCGGAAAUUGAGGGUCCAGAUGGCAAGAUAUGGCCGACCACAAGAAUCCCGAGGAAGCCGAUACGGAGGAGGAGGAAGCCGAUACGGAGGUGGUGGACGACGCGACCAGUACCAGGGUGGCUACGGUGGUGGUGGUGGUGGGAGAUACGGUGGUGGAGGAGGUGGCAGCAGAAGAAGGUCAAGAUCAAGGUCCCGUGGAAGAUACAGGUCCCGUUCCCGAUCCCCACGCAGACGUAGACGCUCGUAUUCCCGCUCUCAUUCCCGCAGCCGAUCAAAGUCUAGGAGUCCUUCACCUCGCAGGGCUCGAAGCAGGUCACACAGCAGAUCCAGAUCUCCACGCCACUCAAAAUCUGGUUCACCGCCAGCGAGACGUGAUAGGGAUUCACCAGCGAGACGUGAUAGGGAUUCACCAAUGAGACGCGAUAGGGAUUCGCCAGUCAGACGCGAUAGGGAUGAUUCUCGCUCCAGAUCUAGAUCGCCUGAUGAAGAGUAGACUAACUGCAGCUCAUAGGGAAAGCCGUCGUCCCUUUUUUGAAAUACCAAGAUAGGGUGAUUGACUGUCUUGACUCUCUGCCAUGAAAUGGAGACUCGGUUUCCGUUAGAAGAUUCUUCUGCAGUAUCUUCCAGAAUAGAUGCAGUAGAUAAAUGCCACCAGUUAUUGCCUGAAAGUAUAGCGGUGGUUGGUGCAGUAAAAAGGGGGUGUUAGAAUGUGCAGUUAAAGGUGAUGCAGUCAGUCAGAGGCAAAGCUGUUUGCUGUAGUCAGUUUGUGCAGUCCAGUCUGAUGGCCUGCCUGCCUGCCUGUUUCCAGUGCGUGUAUGGUGCACAUCAGUGUAGCUGUGUAGCAGCAGGCCCUGUGCAGCUAGCUGUGUAUACCAGUAGAAAGAAAGCUGUGUAACCGGCCAUGUGCAGAGCUUUGUUUACGGCACUGGGGAGAAGAAAGAAGUUGGUGGUGUUGGCGAAGAAAUUCAAGAGCAAAAUUGCAGAAAAUGGGCUUGCUGUCGUGUUAGCUGUGCAGAACGGCACUUGAGCAGAUAAGCUGUGCGCCACCAAUUUCAGGCACUAGGGGAGAAGAAGCAGGUGAAAUCAAAGAGCCAAAUCUUGAAGAAAGAAAAAUCGGUUCAUUUCUGCCUUUAAUUUUGGACCUUUGUUUGGAGGAAUCGUAAAGGAAAUACAGUACCAUAGUUGAUGAGAUGAAUAUCUGAAUGCUGUCAAAAUUUGUGAGGUAUGAUUUUGGUUGUGAAAGUAACACCGAAGCUGUGACAUCAUAAAAAAUGUAUUUUUAGAAUAUCUCAAUUUUCUUCAUUUUCCAAAAGAGCAUCAGAAAUUAUGUCAGAAUGUCGGAUACUAAUUGAAUAUGUUAAGUAUUGGCUGAGAUAUGACCAUCUCAAUAAAUAGAUGUCCUAUAGGAAGGAACUCGAGUAUUUUGAUCUGGCUCGUAAUGUUAUGAACCAAAGCAAUAUAACACUGAGUUCCUAUUGGUAAUGUUUUUAUUCAGAUGGUCAUAUCUCAGCCGAUACUUAACAUAUUCAAUUGGUUUUCGACAUUCAGACAUUAUUUUUGAUGACAUCACACUUCACCACUCUAUACAGAGUAUUCCCUUUCCAUACUAUUUUUAGCACUGAUCAUUUCUUUGUUUGAUUAAGGAAAAGGGCAUGUGAUUUUCAGAUAUUUUCCAGACAUACAAAAGCAGAAACGAAAUUGCUUACAAUGCCCUGUGACUUGUUUUGAAAACUUGACUGAAACUUUGUAAGUACCAAAUUUGUAAAUGAAUUAGAAAGAAUUUGUAGGCUCAUUUGAUACUAAUUUGGGGUUAUUCCAGGCCUGUGCAAGUGUUCAUACAAUGGAUCACCCUACACUUUUUUCUCCUAUAAGUUACACUCUUUGGUAUUCAAAGGCAGUUUAAUAGAACAGUUAACAAGUCUUCAUGCCUGGAGUGUGAUGCACACUCAUAUUGGAUUAAAUACCCAAAUUACACACAAAUGCCCUUUUUGUUUAAAUAAACAUGCUGAUACUGCUUUAGUUGACUUCCUGUCUUCAAAGAUCCCAUUUUUUGUUUCCCUUGAAUAUGGUUUCUCAUUGAAACAUGUACUCGGGGGAACCUGUCUACAAUGACCACUUUUUGUGUUUCCCUUGGGUCAUCGCUAUACAGAUUUGACUGUAUAUAUACAUUGUCAAGUAUAUUAAAGAACCAGCUCUCCUGAA